AAAUAAAUUUUUUAUGGUUUAUAUAAUUUAUUUUGAGUUUGUUUUACAUAUAAAUUUUAGUGUUAAUUAUUAAUUAUUUAGAUAAUAAUUAAUUUUUUGGUAGUAAUUAAUUUUAAAAAUUUAAGAAAUUAAGAUUUAGUAAUAUUAGAAUUAAUAACUAAUUUUGUGCCAGCAGUUGCGGUUAUACAAAAAUUGAUUUAAAUUUUUUUUGUAAUUAAUAAAUAAUUUUUAAUAUAAUUUAAAAUUUAAAUUAUAAGGUGAAAUUUUAAUUUAAUAAAAAAUUAUUAUAAAAUUAUGAAUUAAUAAAUUUAAUUAAAAACUAGGAUUAGAUACCCUAUUAUGAAAAAUUUAAAUUAAUAAUACUUAAAUAGUAAAUAAUUAUUUAUUGAAACUUAAAUAAUUUGGCGGUAUUUUAGUUUAUUUAGAGGAAUCUGUUUAAUAAUUGAUAAUCCACGAAUGAAUUUACUUAAUUUAUUAAUUUUGUAUAUCGUUGUUAAAAAAAUAUUUUUUAAUAAAAAUAAUAUUUAAAAAUUUAAAAUUAAAAAUUAAAUCAGAUCAAGAUGCAGAUUAUAAUUAAGAAUAUAAUGGAUUACAAUAAAUUUAUUUAAAUUGGAUUUUAAUUUGGAAUAAUUAAAUAAAAUUGGAUUUAAAUGUAAUUUUAUUUAAAUUAUUAAAAUGAUUUAAAAUUAAAAUAUGUACAUAUUGCCCGUCGCUUUCAUUAAUAAAUUGAAAUAAGUCGUAACAAAGUAGAGGUACUGGAAAGUGUUUCUAGAAAGAU
rnacentral:ncRNA from 1 species